UAUGUGAUCGUCUCUCGCAUAUCAAUAAGCGGAGGAAAAGAAACUAACAAGGAUUCCCCUAGUAACGGCGAGUGAAGCGGGAAGAGCUCAAAUUUGAAAUCUUAAAGGGUUCCCCUUUACGAAUUGUAGUUUAAAGAAGUGUUUUCUGUUGAGGUUUUGGUAAAAGUUCUUUGGAAUAGGACAUCAUAGAGGGUGAGAAUCCCGUAUUUGACCUUUACUUUCAACUUUGUGAUACACUUUCAAAGAGUCGGAUUGUUUGGGAAUGCAGUCCAAAAUGGGUGGUAAAUUUCAUCUAAAGCUAAAUAUUGGCGAGAGACCGAUAGCGAACAAGUACCGUGAGGGAAAGAUGAAAAGAACUUUGAAAAGAGAGUUAAACAGUACGUGAAAUUGUCAAAAGGGAAGCGUUUGACACCAGUGUUGUUUUUCUGAAAAUCAAUUAAAGAACUGUUUAUGCUAAGUUGUUUAGACUUUAUCAGCUAAUCUGCUUAGUUUUGAGCUUUUCUUUAAUGCACUUUUCAGUUAACAAGUCAACAUCAAUUUCUUUUGCUGUAAAAAAGCUUGAGGAAGGUGGCUUGAGAUUCGUCUUAAGUGUUUAUAGCCUCUUGCCUAUGCAGUCGGAGAGAUUGAGGUCUGCAGCGUAGAUCCUUCGGGGCUAAAUGCAUUUGUGCUAAGUUAUAGCAUUUUAUAGACAACUUGUUGACUAUGAUUUGUCUUGUAGCUUACUCGCUUAUGUUAUUUUACCUACGCUUAGGAUGUUGAUCUACAGAGCGAGAGU
rnacentral:rRNA from 1 species